UACCAGCUCUCCGAGUGGUGUGGAUGUUUAUUGGGCCUAAAGCAUCCGUAGCUGGCUGGGCAAGUCCCCUGUUAAAUCCACCGAUUUAAUCGUUGGUGUGCGGGGGAUACUGUUCGGCUAGGGGACGGGAGAGGCAGACGGUAUUUUCGGGUAGGGGUGAAAUCCUAUAAUCCCGGGAAGACCACCAGUGGCGAAGGCUGUCUGCUAGAACGCGCCCGACGGUGAGGGAUGAAAGCUGGGGGGAGCGAACCGGAUUAGAUACCCGGGUAGUCCCAGCUGUAAACGAUGCAGGCUAGGUGUUUGGACGGCCACGUGCCGUUCUAGUGCCGCAGGGAAGCCGUUAAGCCUGCCGCCUGGGGAGUACGGCCGCAAGGCUGAAACUUAAAGGAAUUGGCGGGGAGCACCACAAGGGGUGAAGCUUGCGGUUU
rnacentral:rRNA from 1 species